GCCUAUAAAUAUAGCUUAUAACUCUUCAUGACAAAUAAGCAUCGAGAUCCUCAAGUAUAGACCGAAAGAAUUCUUUUAUAGUAUUAUUUUGUAAGAUAGAAGUGAGGUAGAUCUGUCUGAUAGAUUUAUCCUUCAGUAUUUUCAUAAUGUUCUUCAUCUUUGAUUCGUCUUUAAGCUUGAGCAACGAUGGCUGAAUAUAUAGUGGUAUCAGAGUCAUCUUCUAUAUUAUUUUGUUCAGUCUAUUGAUUUUGUUACUGGAUGAAAAAUUUGUAUAUAUUAUAUUUUGAUUUAUUUUUAAUAUAUUAAAAAUUAUUUUAUUAUUUAUGGAUGGGAUGAAGAAGCAAGAGAUUUUUCUUUAUUUC
rnacentral:lncRNA from 1 species